UGAACAAGACAUCGAUUGAGGAGCCUUCUCUCUCUUAACACACUCUUAUUCUUCAGAGAGAGAAUGAGAAUUCCGGCGACAACUGGUUUUUUUGUUUUAUACAUAGUUUCUGACUUUUGACGGAUCUCUCUUUCCGCUUAGUCAGAUUUUAAUAAUUUUCGGUUUAGCUUGGUUCGUUUCCGGUUAAGAUCGGAUUAUUUUUAGUUUUAUUUUUUUUCCCUCUUUCUACAGGAUUUCAGUGUAAAUCCCGCUUGCUGUCAAUUGGUUUCUUUCAUGUUCAUCUGUUGGCUUGACUCUUCUCCAAAGUUAGAGUAAUAUCUUCGCCGUAAUGUCUUCGUCGUUAUGCGAAGUGGACCUCUCUAUCGGUCUUGGGCGGAGCUUCUUCCUUUGAAGUUGGGGUUGAGAUGAAGAUCUACAAAAUCUCCUAUUACUCAAGGUGGAAACAACAUACCCAAUUUGAUUUGUGGCGGUAAUAUCUGUAGAAGGAUGGCUCCAAGAGCGUGAAUUGAAGCCUUCACCUGGUGGUUAAGACCGUCGUCGGACGUGACGGCAAAUUAAAAAUUUGGCGGUGAGCAACCAAAGGUGUUCCCGCGGUUUUCUCGCUUGUGCCACAUGAAUCCAUUAGGUUUUUGCAUCAAACACGUGUCUCUUACGUGUCUUCUUUGUGUAAUUUGGUUCAUUUUAAAAUUGGGUUUCAAAAGGCUUUGUAUCACGUAUCUUGUAAUUUGUCCUUUAUGGAUUUCGUUAUAAGACGAAAAAUUGCCUGCAAAAAAAAAAAAAUCUUCUCAGCCCAUUUUUUAAAAUACUAUUUUUUUGGGUAAAUAAA